UACGGAGGGUGCAAGCGUUGUUCGGAAUUAUUGGGCGUAAAGCGCGUGUAGGCGGUCUGUUAAGUCUGAUGUGAAAGCCCUGGGCUCAACCCAGGAAGUGCAUUGGAAACUGGCGAACUUGAGUAUCGGAGAGGUUGGUGGAAUUCUCGGUGUAGAGGUGAAAUUCGUAGAUAUCGAGAGGAACACCGGUGGCGAAGGCGGGUCUCUGGGCCGAUACUGACGCUGAGGAGCGAAAGCGUGGGGAGCGAACAGG
rnacentral:rRNA from 1 species